UACGGAGGGUGCAAGCGUUGUCCGGAAUCACUGGGCGUAAAGGGCGCGUAGGCGGCUCAUGAAGGCUGUGGUGAAAGUCCGGGGCUCAACCUCGGAUCGGCCGUGGCGACUCGUGGGCUGGAGCACUGUAGAGGCAGGUGGAAUUCCGGGUGUAGCGGUGGAAUGCGUAGAGAUCCGGAAGAACACCAGUGGCGAAGGCGGCCUGCUGGGCAGUGGCUGACGCUGAGGCGCGACAGGCGUGGGGAGCAAACAGG
rnacentral:rRNA from 1 species